UUACCUUCUGGGCCUGUGCUUUCUAA
rnacentral:piRNA from 1 species